UGGGGAAUAUUGCACAAUGGGCGCAAGCCUGAUGCAGCAACGCCGCGUGAGGGACGACGGCCUUCGGGUUGUAAACCUCUUUUAGUAGGGAAGAAGCGAAAGUGACGGUACCUGCAGAAAAAGCACCGGCUAACUACGUGCCAGCAGCCGCGGUAAUACGUAGGGUGCGAGCGUUGUCCGGAAUUAUUGGGCGUAAAGAGCUCGUAGGCGGUCUGUCGCGUCUGCUGUGAAAAUCCCGAGGCUCAACCUCGGGCCUGCAGUGGGUACGGGCAGACUAGAGUGCGGUAGGGGAGAAUGGAAUUCCUGGUGUAGCGGUGGAAUGCGCAGAUAUCAGGAGGAACACCGAUGGCGAAGGCAGUUCUCUGGGCCGUAACUGACGCUGAGGAGCGAAAGCGUGGGGAGCGAACAGGAUUAGAUACCCUGGUAGUCCACGCCGUAAACGUUGGGCGCUAGAUGUGGGGCACCAUUCCACGGUUUCCGUGUCGCAGCUAACGCAUUAAGCGCCCCGCCUGGGGCAGUACGGCCGCAAGGCUAAAA
rnacentral:rRNA from 1 species